rnacentral:rRNA from 1 species
AUGAACGCUGGCGGCAGGCCUAAAACAUGCAAGUCGAGCGACCGUAGCAAUACGGGAGCGGCGCACGGGUGAGUAACACGUGGGAAUAUGCCUUUUGGUACGGAACAACGUCUGGAAACGGACGCUAAUACCGUAUGGUCCCUUCGGGGUAAAGAUUUAUCGCCAAAAGAGUAGCCCGCGUUGGAUUAGCUAGUUGGUAAGGUAAUGGCUUACCAAGGCGACGAUCCAUAGCUGGUCUGAGAGGACGAUCAGCCACACUGGGACUGAGACACGGCCCAGACUCCUACGGGAGGCAGCAGUUAGGAAUAUUGGACAAUGGGGGCAACCCUGAUCCAGCAAUGCCGCGUGAGUGAUGAAGGCCUUAGGGUUGUAAAGCUCUUUUGGCGGGGACGAUGAUGACGGUACCCGCAGAAUAAGCCCCGGCUAACUUCGU